rnacentral:lncRNA from 1 species
AGGGAGAGAGAAACGUUCAAACUGAAAGGAAAAAAUGGUGUAACUAUUUUCAAACAAAGGUAUUAAAUGUCGAUGGACAUGUCAGAGACAUCGGAUCAAGAUCCGAGGGUCAUCCACACUUUCCCCUCCGUAACGUGUUAUCGCUGGAUUAAAAUCUGACGACCAACAGGGGCGGAGUUACAGCGUAGACAUUGGGUUCAGAUGAGGAAUUGGAUCCGAGCCUACACAUAUGAACCCCAUGAUUAUAGUGUAAUGAACCCAGUGGUUUCCUUUUCUGGCUCCACCCGUGACGACCAAUCACGUCGACUUGUCUCUAACUAAAAAAAUACAGACGACUUCUUAAUAGCAAAACAUGAAAAAGGAAUAUAAUGUCUCUGUAAAAUAUAGAAAGACGUGGUUCUCCGUUAAGAUGUUGUGGUUAUUUCUCUUCUGUCAGUUGACCAUUUUUGUCCCCGUCUGAUCCAGCGCCGCUCCGUUACCGUACCAUGUUUUUUCACGUCAUUAUCCGUCCGUAUUCCUUAUUUGUUUUUGCAUUCAUAUCAUGUCCGUGCCGCUUCCAAACCAAUGGAAAUUGUGAAAUAAAAUAUGGUACUAUAUAAAAUCAUUAUCCGGUCCCGUUUUACAUAUAUGCUAUAUUCCUCAAGUAUGUACAUCGAUCGCGGUCUUGUAUGAUUCAAAAACAAAAACGAAAUAUCAGUAGAGAGCAAGCGUACAUGCACACGCAGGAUAUGCUUUCGUUGGUUAAUUCGGUGUACGUACGGACCACCGCGAUGUCUCUGCGCCCGUCGACGUCACACACGCUUACGUGAGUGCGUGCGUACAGUCGGUGAUUAAUCGAUCCGGAAACGUGCCAAUAUAGUCUGCAGCCGCGCCGGCUUUUUAUACUCCCUGCAAUCAAUGCACCCGGCCCUCUCGUUUCGGCCGAAAACUGCAUACCACGCUCGAUCGAAUCAUCCAAGUAUACAGAUACACACAUGCUUCUCGAUGACUCGAUCGAUGGACUUACGGUAUAAUCGUACAGUAGUUGCUUUCGCUUCCAGACGUAGGUACACGGAACGACGAACCGGGAAAAACGGCCCUCCUGCUCCUGGCUUGGAAUCAUUCCACCUCUGGUGGAAAUCCUGGACCACCCGUACGUCCAUAUGCUCCCUUGCGAGUUGCAGACACGUUAUACGUACUCAUGUAAUCGCUCCGUUUCAUAAAAAUUGACACGAUUUUAAAUCAGAACUAAGUUAAAAUCAUGUCAAUCUUCGUGAAACGGAGGAAGUACCUGACAGGAAUGCAUGCAGGGAUCAGGCACUCCAGUUUGGAGUUGGAACGGGGCACACAUGUGGAAAAAGUUUCGAACUAACAAGGUGGCGACUGCGACCAAAGCCAGAACCAUUUUUUGUCGAGCACGAUCGAUCGACCUGCAGCGCCAGAGCCACUAGAGGGCCCAGAUCAGCUUGCCCCGCCCCAAUUCCAUGCGUUCCGGUUGUUUCCUUUCGAGCCCCCUGCCCCAGUUGCCUGCCCUUUUAUCUCUCAGCGAUCAGUUACGUUCAUGCAUUCUUGGCCACACGUACCUACACUACAAUCGGUACUACUACGUACAUGCGAGAUAGCUAUGUCCCGAUCGAGCCUGCAAUUAACGGCAACUCGACCGAUCAAUCUGCAAGUAGAGACAGUAAUCUCGAAUUUGGUUCAAAAGCAGGCAGCGAAUCCUGGAACGACCAAGUUACACGGUACUCCUAUGUAAGCUAGUACUAGUACAACUAGUAGCAUGCCACCGGUGGAUCACUCACCUGGGGAUACAAAACCGUUCUCCUUCGAUUAGAGUCGUCUGCAUUAUUGACAGUUUCGAUGGACCAGGCAGACAGAAGCAAAGCCUGGAUGCGCGCGGGAUCCACUUGUCCAGCAAAAGGGCACGAAUCGGGGAGGUCACAGGACUUAAACAUACGAUAGGCCACGCGAGCCAAAGGCGUGCCGUACUGUGCUGCCCCUGCCUGGCCUGUCGUGUGAUGUGACAGAAAAAAAUUAAAGGGAGCGGCGAACCUGCGUUUCAUGAUCAUUGAUAGAUGGAUGGGUGGAUCGAGCUAGUAUUAAGCUGGUUGUGGUGUGUGUGUGUGGAGGGGGGUCUGUCUUUGAAAAGUCGACGCUGCAUGCGGACGUUCAGUUUCAAGUGGCGUGCAAGAUGUUCCUAGUGAAAAUGUGAAAUCAUGGGGGAAAUAGGCGAAGUUUGCAGGGUUGAACGGCACACCGCGUUUGGCUGACGGCUCUAUGCGCGGAUAUGAUGUUUUCUUUUUAACGAAUAUUCUGAUAUUUUUCAAUACCAAAACCGUAUUCGGAGUUAGCUGGCGUCUGAAUUUUAAACAGAAGACUUAAAUCUCCGGACUCUUGAAUUAAGAUCUAAGUGUCAUCCCCACUCUCUCUUCUCCCGCAUGCUGUUGUUGGAUUAAGAUCCAAUGUUCAAACACGUCAGCUGAUCGCUAACUAAGAAACAAGCGACUUCUUAAUAGCAAACCGUUUUCUGAAUCCCCACAUUCGAUAAUAAAAUUCCACCGGGAACCUACCAUGCUGUAUGCAGAUAUCGACCUUCUUUUUUUGGAUUGUGAUAAGUGUAUUUUCAUAGUUUAAAUAUUGUUCACGGUGCAAAUUCCGCCCUUGCGUGGCGGGUUAUUGGACAUUCAACUGUGGAUACCGAGCUUAGCAAAUUUUUGUCGAACUCUUUUUGGAAUGGAAUGGAUUAAUACAAUUUGACUAAGAGUCAUCAUUUUUAUGGUUUAGGGUGGUGGCUGCACCCCAAAACCUACCAAGGAUCGAACCCCAGGUUUGACCCUCGGCGUGUCUCAUUUGAGCCGAAUUUCUUUUGGCAGUAGGAGAUGCAAUCCGUUCACGCUUCACACUGAAGCGUCAGUGACUUCGUCGAUCUCAAAACGUUUUCACGAUUCUGGUCAUCCGUGUGAGUGUGUGCGCACGGCGGUGUACGUCGUGUGUGAUCAUUGUUCCUAAAAUAAAGUACUUCCUUCGUCUAACAAAGGAUGUCUGAAUUUUGAUUAAAUUUGAAUGCAUCUAUACAUCAAGUCAUGUCUACAUACAUCAACAUUUUGACAAACUUGAGACAUCUUUUGCUGGACGGUGAAAGUAUAGGAGCCCGGGAAUAGCCGCAUCUUAUUACAAGCAAUUAAUAUUUCGACCCUGAACCAGUUUGAGCUUAACCCCAGUGGAUCGGAAUCGGGUUCACUGAGCGAGCGAGCGCUCCAUUACAGAUUUUUACAGGCACUGAGGCACCGUCUCUUCCUGCUGCCCCCCUCCGGGGAGCUAGCUGCGUGCUAUGGACCGCCCAUUCGUGGAACGGGCUGUACCCACCAAUACCUACGUACCUGCGCGCCUGCCAUGCCACCCCUCUGCCACGGGGGGCUGUCGGCUCCAAAGAAUCAUGCAAUAAUUACCAGCUUCUUCUAUCGGCGGCAUACAGAGGAGAGGAUUGAGCUUUUGAGCAUCUCGUGUGCAGAGAGAAUCUCUCUGCCCGUUCGCGCCAGGUGGAUGUAUUUACUUGCGCCAGGAGCAAACGAGCAACUCGUGACCGCCUACGCACGUUUCCCCGACUAGACAAGUCAAUUGGUGAAAAUUGGUGAAAUUGGCAGCUAGCUUAUUUAUCCCUUUAUCCAUUCGCACCCACCCCACCCCGGCCACCCUCCGCGCUGCGCAUGCAUGCAUGUCCUCGUGGGCUCUCGAGGACUUGAAGUACGUACGUCGCAUGCAUGCAGAUAAGACGGAGCUAGAGAGAAAGCCUCUUCUUUUCGCUCGUGGCCCGGCAUGUGCAUGCCAAUGGCAAUGCCAGCGUCCCAGUCAGCUACUCUCUCCGUUCCAAAUUCUUGCCUCAAAUUUAUCCAAAAAUAAAUAUAUUUAUUUUUUAAAAACGUUUAUAUACAUGUAAUAGUCCGACAAAAAUUAUGAAACGGAAGGAAUACUGACCAUAGCUAUGGUCAGUACAACUCCUAGUGACAAGUGCAAGCAGGGGAAGUUCAUACUCUAUGUGGGAGGUGCAAUGCAUCUCUCGCUCUAAAGACGUGGUACUCCUAGACUACAGGACUACCACGUACUGGAUUCAUCGAGAUGUGAUGGAACGGUGUACCAGGGUGCGUGGCAUGCAUGUAGACGCCGGGCCGAUCGAUGUAUGUCGAGAGCGGGAUAUGGACAACGAAAAAGGGUGUGGGCAGGGUAGGUGUUCGAUCAAAAUCCACGGACAGUUCCAAACUGAGGAGACCAUGGGGAAACUACUGGACAUCGGGGGUAUAGUGUUCACGUGACGUCAGAACUGGGGAGAGCUACACAACCUCAAGUCGUCGUCUUCUGGUAAGCAAGAGGACCCUUGUUUGGGAGCGCAAUGCAAGUGCAGAUGUUGUGCAGGCGCAGCAGAGACGUGACCCUUGCAGAAGAAAACGCGAAGAGCCGGGUAUAGUGGAUAUGUGGAUGCGUGAAUUAUCGUGGGCCGGGCCGCUUCAAAGCCUGGUAACGCGUGUCGUCGUGGCCUGGCCCAGAUUAUGCUGCUCAUCCGUCCAGCUCGCAAUACAUGAAGAGAAGUUCAAAAACCCGCUGUCCACUUUUGCAUUUAUCCAACGUUUCCUUGAUGAUUUGUCUCUCAUUCGUGAUGUUGUCCAUGCUGUGACACCGGAGCCUCCUCCUGGUGGUGGUCGCCUUGUCCCGCCCACCAACCGCUGGUCUCCUCCGUCGGCUGGUAUGUGUAAAAUUAAUGCGGAUGCUGGAGUUGCAAGGUCAGGUGCAGGUGGUUCUUGUGCUGCGGUCUGUCGCGAUGAAUGUGGAAGAUUCAUGAGAGCCUCUUCGAUUACAAUCGAGGGCAUGACCGACCCUACAAUACUUGAAGCAUUGGCAUGUAAUGAAGGCUUGUCUCUGGCCUUGGACCUUAACAUCUCAAAAGUUUGUGUUGUUUCGUACUGCUUAACGGUUAUCAAGAGUCUACAACAAGAUGAUCUUUGCUAUUAUAGUGCGAUCAUUAAGGAUAUUGUGGCAAGGAAGGAUCAGUUCCGUGAUGCUGUUUUCAGACGUGAGAAGAGAACUCUUUAUAGAGAUGCUCAUAAUCUAGUUAGAGCGGAGUUACCGCUUUCUGUUGGCCAUCAUAUUUGGCUUUUAAGUACCCCAUGCAUUACUUGUAUUCCUGUUCAAGUUGGUGUUGAAUAAAGCUGGCCUUUCCCCUAAAAAUAAAAUAUCCGUCCAGCAGAACUGAAUCCCCAAUAGCGCGGUUACAAGACAAGAAUGAUUAUGUAAUUAUGUUCCUUGUUAUCGUUUCACUUUGCACCACAGAAAGAGUGCUCUGUUUGGCUCCACCAAGGCAAAAGGAAAGAGAAACAGGAACCGAGGAGUGUCUCAUUGUCAAUUACUAAUUCAGCCAACGAACCCAUAAAACAUGUACCGACGCAAAUGCAAUUCAUCAGAAGUGUUCUUCAAGGAAGAACACAGACAGGGUAUCGGACUACCGGUGACUAUGUUUGGAUAUCUUACAUGCUCAGAAUGCUGCGGGCGAGUUAACUGGGAAAUAAUUGAAGAUGAAGAAAGGACACAGCAAGUUACAUAAGCGGCAACAGAUUUUGCUAGAGUGGCACAGCAGUGGCAGGUGCUGGAACAUGCACCUCAAAUACAAUCAGGAACUCGAACUGUUUAUAGCUUUGGACACUUUCUUCCAUCGCAAAACACUUCGAGUUUGUUCUUAUCAAGCAAAUGGUUUUCGAUUAGGCCCAGAUAUGACAUGGUGUUAUUACAUGCAUAACAGCGCUGGCUUGUCAAGCACCACUGGCAUACAGGCGAGUCCACUCCUUCGCUGCAAAGCAAAAAAAAAAUUGACAUGUUAGGUACAAAAAGCAAUGAAAAGUGGAGCAAAAUGACAUGCUAGUGUAUCAAAGUGCAGUGUUAGCGUGCGGCUUUGUUGGCUGAAUUUUCAGUUACCUGUCUCGACAGCUUCAGCUUCAUUGGAUUUCCAGUGUUUUGCCACGUUUUCUGAGAGCGGAUCAUCUGGAUUCGGAGCGCUCAGCAGUGCCUGAAUGCUGCAGACCAAACAUUGUAAAGAGGCAAAAAAAAAAGAGUAUACAAUAGUGGAUACAAGAAGCAACCCUCUGGAAAUACGAUAAUAUGAUACGAUCAUGAACUAUAAUGAAACUAUUUGGCCAAACAUGCCACGGAAGACAGAAGAGGUUGCUACCUCAAAAGAACAGUACGUAUCUGAAGAGCUGGGCUCCAUUUGUCCUUCAGGAUAUCGAGGCAUAUCCUACCAAGCUGCAGUGCAAGUCAAUCCGAAAUGAGAAACUGUUAUCGAAUGAAGUUCCAUUGAGAAUAUCAGUUCCCUACCUUGUCAAUGUUGGGAUGGUAUAUUUUUGUGAGAAACCUAACCUGCGUCAGGAAUAACCAAAGAGUGAUGUCCAUCAGAAAGAAUCACAACAGAGACAACAUACAGAAAAGUCAAAUAGAAUUGUGUAACUACUUUGGUUAGACGACAGUGUCACACUAAAACUAAAACAACCAUGUUGAUAUCCGUAAGAGUAAAACAGUCCAAGGACAGGAGUUGAGAACAAAAUAUUCAGCUACCUCUUAUUUAACAUGAUGGAAAUUACUACUCCCUCCGAUCCAUAUUAAUUGUCGAAAUAUUACAUGUAUCUAGACAAUUUUUUAGCCAUAGAUACAUCCAUAUUUGGGCAAAUUUGAGACAAUUAAUAUGGAUCGGAGGGAGUAUUAGUCUGAGUCUCAGAUGAUAUAUCACAAUGUCAGUACACUCCAAAUAUAGCAUUGCCAAUUAAGUAAAGUAAAGUACGGAACUGUGCAAAGGAGAUUAGUUAAGUGAACGGAGAGAGAAAUCUAGUAUGGAUACGAAAAGUAUUAACACAAUACUAAACAUGGGCAUUCAGUAUUCCUGAUCACAAAGAUGGUAUGCAAAUCUAUUAAUGGUACAUAUCAACAACAAACAUGGGCGCUGCCCAAAAUAAGAUGUCACAAUAAAUUGCUGGUUUCGGUUAACCACAGGCAUAAUUAAACGUCCAUCCCACUGUCGCACCAUAGCAUGAUAAAAUCAUUGCGAAGAUCGCUCUGCCAGAUUUUGAACUCAAAUUUCAGUUACAACUUACAACUAGGAAAUGAACCAAAUUCCACAUCAAGGAGCCUACCGGGACAAGAAAAUCCAUCACAAUAUGUGUCAAACUAAUAACUUCUUAAACAACCAUCCACUAAUACUUGAUCAAAAAAUUACUUUUGGAGCAGCCAUCGGAUAUUCCUCAGGUAAGAAAAGUUCAAGCUUGAAAACUCCACCUGUCCAACACAUAUUAGAAGAAAUAUCAGGAGGACCAGACACAGACAACUAAACAAAAUAAUGUUUCACCCAAUUAAAAAUGUCAUAAGCAAAUACAGUAUACAAAGAUAAGUAAACCAAGCUUAAAUAAAUAAGAUAACAUAGUGACAAAUGUACUGUCUAACAAUAGGAAAACAGGUCGUUCUGUGUACCAUUUAUCAUAUACAUGCACCGCAUUUCAUUACUCCAUGUUGCAUGGAAACAUGGUAGAUAGUUCCUUGUGCCGUAUAUCAGUAAACUUCAGUAAUCGCAAAGGUUAAGGAAACCCAAGACAUUCAAUUCCCAUAGGUUACUGAUAUAUGGUACAGUUGUAGAUCUAGCAUGUUAAGGAAACUACAAACUUGUGCCCCAUAUCAUAUCUAAACUAAUAGCAGGUAUAACUGUUGAAGUAUAAGGUGAAUUGCCCUCAUUUCUCCAUCAGCUUAGGCUUUUAGGGGCACUGGUUCGGCCCAUAUGCAACUCUCCAUGGUAUCCGAGCCAAGAGGUCCCGAGUUCAAGCUCAAUAUAAUAAAAAGGCACUUUUGAUCCAUGAGGGGGAGUGUUGAAGUACGAAAUGAAUUGCACUCGUUUCCCCAUCAGCUUAGACUUUUGGGUGAACUGGUUCGGCACAAGCAACUCUACAAAAGGCAGUCUUCCUAUGUGGAAUAACUUCUACAAAUAAAAAACCAGGUUCACUAGAGCUUAAGAUAACCGAUGAAAUGGACUUGUCAAGCUAUAUUUUGUGAUGGAUUCAACAAAGCAGAAUCUCAAAGUAUAGAAUCCAAAAGGCACAGAAGAGUACAAUUACCACUGGAACAGCUGGGUACAAGAUGGUCGGAUUGCUGGUCUAGCAAACAUAAGUUUAGAAGUGUAUAGUUCCGGCAGCACUAGAACAACACCUUUAUGUGACCAUCCUGAUAUGAUCAUCCAUCUGUGAUGUUUUACUACAUAUUUGCAGCAUUUUACAAACAAAAAGAGCCAUAGAUACGAAAAUGGGGACGCGGUGACCACAGUUACAGUCCUAAAUUGCCACAGAACUACGCAUUCGUGCUCCAAAGUAUUACAGGGUUAUCGGCAUACGAAACAUUCCAACAGAAAUAAAAUGAAAAGGAGGUUUUACCUUCAUAAGGAGACUGCGCCGGACCAAGGACCAUGACAUUGAAGUAGCGCAUGUUCUCCUCCGACGGCGACGCGCUAAUCCCCGGCGCUGCACGCACCCCCCCAACACACGAAUCAGCACAAACAUCCGAGGCUCGAACGCGGACAACACAACAGGAGCAUCGAAUUCUAGGAAAACGAACCUGGUUCGCUGAGCAGCCGCUGCGUCUCCUGCAGCAGAUCCAAAUUCCGAACAGAUUAGGCACCACGCACAAGGAAUAACCAGACGAUAAGGUUAUCAUAUCGCGUUAGAGUCUCAGAAACGGCUGUAGAUCUGGGGGGGUGAGGGGCGAUCGGAUCGCGGGGUAGGGCGCGCGCACCUUGAUGAUCCGGCGCGGGAGGUUGCUGUUGGCCAUGGAGUCCGGCCGGGGCUGGAGCGAGAGCCUAGAGGGGAGGGGGGGAGGGACCGCCUCGAGCUUCGCGCGGCGACGGAGGAGAAGACAGCGCGAGAGAGGUCAAAGGAGUCGUCGAUCUGUCGGGGAGGGCGAGCCGGGGGAGGAGGCGACGAACGAACAGAAAUGGGUCAGGGUCCGAUACUGUGUACCACGUAUUUAUAAACUCCACGCUACAGCCGCUGCUGCUGAUAUUUUCCUUUUCCUCUUGAGCUGGUGUUUUCGUUUUAUACUCUACCGACCUGUUUGUUUGUCCUUCUAUUUCAGUUUUUUUGCAUCUGGCAAUCUUAAAAGCAUCUUUUCUGUUUACACGUGAAGCUGAGAGGCACCUCCGAACAUGCUAAACACUGUUUACACAUGAAGCUGAGAAGCACCUUCGGACGUGCUAAACAGAAAAAGUGCUUUUGAGAUUGCUAAAAGUACCAAAAACUGAAACAGAAGUCCAAACAAAUAGGCCCAGAGUCUGCUGGAUUGUGAAUUUGAAUACGCACACGGCGAAAUCAAAAUACGAAGUCAUGGCCACUAUGUUUAAAAUAAAAUUCGUGUACUUGGACAAAACAGAAGUUGUUCGGUGAAUAAAAAAACCCUAGAAAUGAUUUUCCGACGUAAUAAACGGUAUAAUAGUACUACUAGUAGUACGAGGGCUGCUGCAGCGGAGAUUAAAAAAAAACGGUGUUCGUUUUAGGUGAGCCAGGGAGAGCAUCUCUCCACGCGAAGGGAGCACACAAUUUAUGCAUGUGCAGAGAGAGAGAGCACGGAGAAGAACAACCUUUGGGUUUGCCUAAUUGCAACGGCCAACUUGUGACUUUGUGUUGUGCGCGCUCGUCGUGGAAGGAUCUCAGGCGAAAAGGAAGGUGGGGGAAAGCUCGAUUAUUCUCCGCAGCUUCAAUCCCACGCUAAGCCGCCUGGUCGAAAAGGUUUGGCUGGCCAAACCGGUUUUGCAUGGUACUCCGUAACAUGUUUUUCAAGUUUUUUAGAACUUUGGAGGAACUCGAAACAAAUUGAGAGCAUACGCUUUCUAAGAGUUGAAAAGUAUUAUUUUCGAAGCACGGGCAGUCGGGCACGGGCAUCAGAGCAUCUCCGUUGCCAGUCGCUCGAAGCGAAGAGAAAUCACGCACUUCCUCUGCUACCGAAGCGAAGGCAGGAACAAGAACAACAGCGACGAGACACAGCCAGAAAUUCGGCAUAGUAUUUGCUCAGGGCUAGAUUCCACUGUAUUCGCUGUAAUCUGGUAAAGCAUGUCGCAUGUGCCCAGACUACAGGAGGAUUUCAAGACAAGUAUCCAGUCCUGUCUUAUUUACAACAGAUAGCGUGCAAAACUAUGCUCAAGAAUCAAGAUAGAUAAAUAACACUGGAUUUCCCCAGUACUUGCUACUUCACCGAACUACGGAGUACAACUGGUAAAGAAUAGUUUCACAAGUCGGAUCCUGAGAUCACAAUGAAAGAGAAGAUACAACAGGGAGUAUUAAAUCUGCACAUGAUCACAAGGAAAUCCAGAUGCACAUGAAUCCAGACAAUAGGAAGAACAGGGAACAGUUUGACAUAUUUUUUCUAAUAAAACAGAAGGUCAGAGUUGCAUGCCUACAUUGUCAACAAAAUAAUAGAUGAAUUGCACGAACAUACCUCAACGACUCAAUGUCAACAUGGAUUUACACUAACAAUUUUUAGUCUUUGACCUUUCAUACUCUUCAGAAUUAAUUAUUACCAGACUAAAAACUACAAUGCACCUAAGAACACGAGCUUUCGCUUCAGAAUAUCCCAAGGAUGGUGGGGGCAGGUGGAGCACGCCAUCAUUGGAGAGCAAGAGCAACGCCAUGUCAUUAACUGAUCAUCUUCAAAUGAUAAUCUGUAGAAGAGACAAUGGACAAGAGUCAAUUGAUCGCUUCACCAAACAGUAACAUUACAAAUUUGCUAUACAGGCUCCAAACAAACUGAUUUUCUAUCAGUCUACGCUUAAACAUAGCAGUUAACAGGGGCAAAGCUUAACACAGGCCCAUCAGCAAUCAUGCAGAGAACAAGGCAAGGCAGAUCAUCCAUGGGAAUCACACAACAAUCCACAAGGAAGCAUGCAUUACAUUCUUUGGAAAGCCAAUCAAGAGAAAUCUGGGUUCAGCGAUCGGAAAGAUUUACAAUGGAUAAGAUAUGUCAAAAUUUCAGUACUGGAAACUUCAGUUACAAAGCAAUUUGAUAAAUCUUACAUGCCAAGACAAGUAUAGAAGAUAUAUCUUUAUAUAAUAAUACUGACUCGUAAUUGUUAGGCUUACAGCAAAAAAAAGGUUAAGUUUCAUUAAACAAGCUUAUUUAUCGGUCUCUGAGGAGCUGGGUUACCUGUAGAUAAAUGGGACCAGAAACUAAGAGGUUACCUGUUGACUCAAGCUUAUGCUUAUUUUGGCGAUACACGUACUCUUAGGCUGGACAUAAUUCACCCUAACGAUUCUCACUAAGACAUGAGAAAGGAAUUCUAGUACGGAAAGGAAGUGAAAACCAGCGCAUGUGCAUCCAAGUGACUCCUAGUGAAACAGCACAGAGAGUGUCCCAGAUCGAUUUUAACUCUGAGUCACCAAGUGGUUCGUCGGUAUCAAUUUGAUCCUAACAGAUUCCAGGCAAUACCAUCAUAUGUCACCCAGUCAUGAUUUCCAGGAAAAGAAUAUAAGUAUUUUCAUCAUACAGACAGAAUUGAAGAAAAACUAUUAUUAGACCAUACAUUAUGGUCUUUCAUUUGUCAUGACAAAAAUGUACUCCCUCCGAUCCAUAAAAGGUGACGCCCAUUUUGUACUAAGUUAGCACAAAUUUUGUACUAGGUGGGCGACACAUUUUAUGGAUCGGAGGGAGUAAUAAGAAACACUAAAAGCUCAAGAUAGAAACUAUGAUUAGUUAGUUCAAUCUUUUAAUAACACCUAUGACAUAACAGAGCUGCACAAUUAUAAUUCUGUAAAUUUUAUCACACCCAAAAACCCAGAGAACCAAACGAUAAGAUACAUAAGUACUUAAAUCUACAAUCAUAACGAGAUGGUCAACAUAUCUCAUCAAUGCACAAAAUUAAAUAGAAAAACACACGACGAAAACAUCCACCAAACAUUAUCUACUGAAGACACAAAAUAUAAAUAGAAUCUCACAAAGCCUACACCAGGAUAGAUCUUAUAUGUGAAUAUCAAUGCUCAACAGGACCGAAAGCCUUAUUUAUGAAGGUUAUCGCACAUUUGGGCUAAGGCCAUUGUAACAUAAAAUAGUCCAAAAUGCACAACAUAUGGGGUGGUCGGACUUCGGCAACGAAACUUCAGACAUACUCGCUAGAUUUUCCGAAGCAACAGUAUCUAAACUUUUUUGUUGCUAAUCCUCCGCAGCAACUCGAGCCAAUUGUUUACCAAGAUCCUUAUCGAGAUUAGCUAGAUUAUUAAACCUUGACUGUAGAUAAACGGACAUGUAUGUAACAUAUUGCUCAGAACAAUCAAGUCGGGCUCACCCAAGCUUGUUUACACCCAUAUGAAGGAAAGGCUUAUUGAAUUGCAUUGUCAGGAAAUCAGCACUUCCCCAAACAAACUGAAAGUACCUUUAUUCCACAACCUAUAAACAUCAAUGGAUAUACUCAGAACACAACAGCUUACAUGUGUGGACCUUCCCACCAUUAAGGCCAAACAUAGUAACAAUAAGUUCCACUUAUUAAAAUGUCAUUGUAUACAAGAAUGUCAGAUUAAAUUAUGCCUCUACACAAGCAUACCAAUCCUGUCACUAUCACUGAAAGUCUGAAACAUUAACUAACAGCCAACAUCAUGCCACAUAACUUGUAAUUUUAGCACAUCAACAUUAGCAUUACAGAAACAAUAGUAGCCACAGAUCACAUAAACGAACAAAAACAAUCUACAGCAAUGUUCUAAACUGAAAUGCUAAAACAUACUUUACCUAAAACCCUCGUCCGCAUCAGAGGUAAUUGGAGUUGGAAAGGAAAGGCAGCGCAGCAACGGAUGAAAUCAGCUCCACUCCACCAGCACCAUUGGAUGCAGCCCCUCCGCUCUUCUUCGUGCGCUUCACCCUUGCGAGCUUCACGUGCGCAUCGACGAAGUUCUCCAUGCGCUUCACCUCCAGCUGCUUCAGGAAGUCAAUUCGCUCGCGUUCCAUCUCUAGCGAAUGCUUUUGUUUCGCACUCUCCACGCGCUCAUACAUCUCUGCAAAAGCCUCAAUUGCCCUCGCCAGCUCGCUGACACCACUAUCCCCAUCACCGCCAGCCUCGCGACGAAAGGGACGCUUGUUGCUACCGCCGGAGCGCGCCGACGAGACAGAACGCGACGGUGACCUCCGCAAGUUGUCAUGGUGGUUGUUGUUGUUGUUACCACCAGGAUGAUCACCAGAGUCCUCCGAAUCAGACACCGCUGCAGCGGCGGCAGCGGCUUCCUGCUGGAUGAACGCAGCGGCAGGGAGCAGCGCCCCGCGGCGGUAGCUGGGGAGGGGCAGAGCCAUGGGCGGGGGCGGGGACGGCGAGGAAGAAGGCGACGGGUACUUCCUCGCGGCGGUAGAAGAAGGAUGGACGGGCAGGGCGAGGUGCGGGGCCAUCGCCGGCGAGGGCCGCUUGUUGGCGGCGGAGUUGAGGGUGGGGCCGACGAGUCGGUCGAGCUCGUCGAAGAAGCUCCAGCCCGACGGCGCGCCGCGGACGCGCUCGGCCUUGUACUUCUUCUUGAGGGUGUCGACGCGGUUCUUGCACUGCACGUCGGUGCGCGGCGGGCGGCGGCGCGCGGCGGCCCCGCGGCGCGAGUUGACGGCGUUGGCCACCUCCUGCCACUGCUUCUGGCGCAGGUUGCCGCGGUUGAGCUCCACGUAGCGGCUGCCCCACGCGUCCACCAGCGCCGCCGUCUCGCCCUCGCUCCAGCAGUCCUCCCGGUAGGGCAGGUUAGGGUUGGGCGGCGGCAGCCUCCCAAACCCUCCCCCUCCUCCUCCUCCCCCUCCUCCCGCCGCCGCCGCAGCAGCAGCCGCAGCCAUCUCCCUCACCUCCAUCGGAACCAGAUCUCGCAGGAGCAAACCCUAACCCUAGCUAGCCCGCCCGCCGAGAGAAGAGGACCGAGCGAGCCUCGGGGAAGUCGCGCGUGACGGUGGGCUAUGUGAGCGGUGGGGGGUUCGGGGUUGGAAUAAAAGGACACGGCGAGGGAAGGGGGGAGGUGGGGUCGCCGGCCGCGAGGGGUCCGGGUUCCGUCCGUCACGCACGCGGCACGUGACGCGUGACCGGCGAGGGGGGGGCGGCAUCGGCAUGGCAUAUCUCGCUCGCUCUCGUGUGUCGUGGGUGACCGGAUUCGGAUCGGAGACGUGCCGCCGUUGGAUUGCGUUUGACCGGGUAACCGGCGAUUACUUUCGGGUUUCGGAGGGCGGGUGGGAUAAUGACAGCCAGCCAGGCACAGGCAAAGCAGAGCGCGGCGACAGGCGACAGCCGGAGACCGGACGGAAUACGGUGGCUGGCGCGGGGGUGGGAAAUUACCGCGUUGCCCCUACCCCGGGGAGCAGGCCGGGGCGGCACGCGGCAGGGGCAAGGCGGGGAUUUCGCGUGGGGCGGCGCGGUGUCAGGGGGUGAGCUGGUCGCCGUUGGUCGGUUUGCGUUUCGGGGCCGCCGAAAGAGGGGAGAGGAGAGAGAGAGAAACGCGCCGAGGAUGAUGGGGAAGGGAGAGGAGACUCGCGAACCGAAGACACCGCUGCUCCUCGCUCUGUACUCCAGUCUAGGCUUCUAGCUAGACUCGGCGCGGUGGAGUGGGUGGGUGAAGAGACUGAGGCGCGGGGCCCGCGUGCAAGCAGGCAGGGCGGGCAAUUAUUGUCGCCUCUGGUGCCGUCGCUCGGUACAGAGGACGGACGGACGGACGGCGUGGGCAAAAUUUAAUCGGCGUGCAGCAGGUGCCGGCUGCCGCCUGCAGGCGCCGGUCCUUCGGAUUGAUCGGUGGAUGGAUGCACUCGCCAAUGGCAAUUCAUCCAUCAAACAUCAUUCGUUACUGUAUAUUUUGUGGCAAAUCAAGAUUAGAGGUUCAUCAUCCGUUUACCGUUUUGGUUUGUCCCCUGGCGUCAUCAUCACCGUCUGGGCUUUGGAACUGACAAUAUGGUUCUUUCGGUGAAAUUCAGGUGAAAGUAAAACUCCACCGGUAGAUAGCAGCGGCCAUGGUGCCGUCGUGGGAACAGAGCAGUACGUACGUUACGGGCUCGCGUCAAAUCCUCGACGGAACCGUGCCCGCUGCACCGGUGGGUGAACAGAACACCAUAAAUCCCUCGCGGCCGUGGAGAGAAGUCAGGGGAACCGCGUGUACGUACGUGGUCCUCUCCUGCUAGCUAUAGCUAGGCUGCCCCGUGCGACCGGCGGCGAGGAAACGGCACGCUCGGGAGCCGUCAACAUUGAAUCGGAGGGCCGGGCGGCCGCGAUAGCGUAGCGACCAGCGAGAUACUCAGUCAGUACGGGCUACUUCGGGCUGUCACGCACGCACCGAGCCGGACGGCCGGGCCGACGCGUCGGGCUUGGGAACCACCGGCGCCGCAGGGGCGGGCUCGGACCGCGUCCAACGCCGCAGGCUUUGCAAAGCUUGCGUUGCGUGUACCCCACGCUACCACGCGGGUCCCCUCCACCAAUCAAUUCCAGGCCGGACGGACGGCCGGUACCGUGUACCGACGCGUCGCCCGCCGGAUCUCCGUGGCGUUUUCCUUUGCCUUUAGUUGUGUACCCGCCCCGCUUCACGCCGGCCUUGUGCGGCAGUUGUGUACACACACGCACGCACUUGUACUACUACUGGUGGCCUUGGACUUUGCUGGUUGCUGGUGCGCACCCAGCUUUUUGCGAACGGUUCCGGGAAACGCCGGCGGAAACUUGUGCGGCGGGUCGGUCGGUUGCCGGGGAAGGAAGGAUUCUUCACACAAGCAACGUGAGAUCUGACCAAGGGGAGCAGCAGCCAGCCAGCACGAGCAGCAGUUCGGCGCUGGAGCUACGCGCGAGCUGGGGCAGGAGCUACACGCCAUGUACGUUGCGUCCCCGGGCCGGUUUGAUUUACGACCGGAAGAGCCGCAGCGUUUCCGGCGCGAUGACCGGACAAAUUAGCCGGCUUGGCCGAUGGCUAUACUAUAUCGGAUUGGACAUAUGGAGUGAUAGUGCUCCCGACAGGUAGGAGACGGACGGACGAGAGCGAGUAAACUGCUGCCUGCGACUCUGCGAGUCCUGCCGUGCACGGCUCCAUGGACGGACCGCACGUCCAUGGCCUGUGUAGCUCCGACCGCACCGGACGCAGGCAAGCGGGACGUGCUGUUCAUCCUGCAGACGGGACUGACCCAAGUUAUUGGAGACGCGUCGGCAUUGAAGCCUUUUCCAUUCUCAGGAGCAUGACGUAAUCACGGGAUCACGCACGGCGUGGGCAAAAGAUUACCAGCCGCGCCGCGCGUGCCUGACUGCCUGUGCAGCUGUGCUAUUUUGAGUGCAGAAUACAGUUCUUCAGAACCGCGCCUGUUUUUUGAGGCUAACUGAACAUGCAGUUCCAUACAAUUUCAAAACUCUACGUAUAAUACGGAAGGGUAAAAGAUACUGAGGCGGUCGAGACCACUGUCGCGACACGCGAAGCCUGAAAUCGUAGCGGAUUUACUUUUUCUUUCUCUCGGGGCAACGUCCAGCAACAGCAAGUGACUGCUUGCCGGUUCAUCUGGCCGGACUGAAGGUGCAGAACUAUCUGCUUCCAUGACCAUGUCAUCUUACUGAACUGAUGUUGAUGUUGAUCGAACGGAAACUUGGUAUUAGUGCAAUUUGCAUUUGGUAGACGGGGGGUGGGAUGAAGAAGCUGCAGCGCAUUGGUCAGGGCAGCAGAUGGAAAACGCUGGAGACGGAGGUCAAAGAAGACGCGCGUAAAGGAACCGGUCAGAACAGUGACUUCCUUACUGGAUUUAGGUGACAGGCUGAAAAUUGUUUAUACUUUGGCACGUUGCCUGGGACACAGCAGUGGACAAGUUCGGUUCGGAGAAUUCUAUCCUCCAGUCAUGUUCCUUCUCGGUGAUUAACUAUCAGCUCAUCUGCCAAUCACAUGUUCUGUGGUGACAGCAGCCAGCAAAAAUAACCGAACGGAUUAGUGAUCGCCUAGAUUAUGUAGCUCAAUUUGCAUGCGUAGUUUCAAACGGUAUAAAACGAUGCCUUCGAAGAAAUGGGAGUAGUAAAAAACAUGUGGACUCGAUUUGGGCCGGGCCGCGAUAUCUUCGGUUCUCCACCCUCUUACGCGCAGCGUUUCUUCUCAGUGUCUGCUCAUCACUUGCGUUAGCUUGUAUUGUUUGCCUUCGCUUAAUAUUAGUGCCAUGUUAUCAUGGCUCCAUCGCCCAGUCGAACGCCGGCUAUCAGUUCAAAUUAUGGAUAGUCUAUUGGCUUUGAAUAAUGCGUGUCCUUGCUCUGAUUCCGUUGAGUGUCAUUCCAAGAGUAGGUAUCUAUCAGAAGAAUUUUCAGCAAAUGUCAGUGCUGCUUGAAGUCAACGAGUACUAAUCACAACAUGUGUGAACAUUUGCCAUCCUCCUGCGGUGCACUCUGACCUGCAUUGGAGAGCUGUAUUGCAGCCUGAAGGUCUUCUUCUCUAUUCUACUUCUACAUAUCUACCCACGUGUAUAUGCAGUAUCCUCCGAUGGUUUAGCCCAUGGGCAAUGCAGUUGUCUGCUUCAAUUCUUGGUGUUUCAGAACUAGUAGUACUACUAGAUAUGAUCAGUAUGCUGGGGACAGGACAGUAUGAAUGUACGAUAGAUAAGGUCCUAGAACAUGGGCCACAGGUUAUGCAGAUCGCAGACACGAGUGUUUGGCUGGAACUGAUCUCCGAAUGCGAGACUCCGAGAAACGUUGAUGCCGCUUUCUGUCGAUCACCUUGAGCCAUUGUCCGUCUGCUGGCCUGGCAGGGAAAGUCUACGGAAUGCCAUCUCGAAAGCCAUGGAAAUUCUGUUUUGCCUGACAGAACUCUGGCGUACAUGAGCAACAGCGACCGGAGCGUGGUUUGCCUGCGUGCUUGACUGUAUGGUCACGACGAACACGAGGUGGCGACCAUCCGCCGCGUUAUCCAGGACUGCACCCGUCAGAGAAGGAUCCUUCACUUUUUGGGAAUCCAAUCACUUCGGGAUCCAUCAGAGCAGAAGACACGGCCAUUUCGCCGGCGGCUUUCCCCAUACAGUGCACAUCUCGUGAACUUCCGUCCAUAUUUUCUGGCCAAAUUUGCAAAGGAUUUGUGCUUUUCAGAGUGCAGCAAACGUAGCAAUACCAGGAAACUACGGAGUAGAAUAGGAAGGAACGUACGCCUGUUUGUUCGGGCGGCAAAGUCAGAGCGACACUCUCUCUACUUUGUUUGUUCGUCAGGCCAGGACGCCCGCCAAACCCGACAUGGAUAACUCCAUUAUUGACGAUGGAAAGUAGAAAUCUGACCCCGGGGGCACUAGCAGACGACACUAUCCACAUUGUCUUCACACACCGAGAAUAUGACAAAAUAACAUGCAUUCUUAAUUCACCUAUCGUCCCCAGUACACACCAUCAGAAAACAUCUUCGAUCUUCUAAGGCGUGGAUGCAUUAGGGGUGCGUAUAAAAAUAAUCAUACUCCUUCCGAUACAUAAAAAGUUUCCCACAUUUAGUACAAAAUAUGUACUCCCUCCGUCGAACAAAGGAUGUUUCAACUUUGAUUAAAUUUGAAUGCAUCUAUACACUAAGUCAUGUCUAGAUACAUUUAAAUUUUGACAAACUUGAGACAUCUUUUGUUGGACGGAGGGAGUACUAAUUUUAGUACAAAAUGUGUGACACUUUUUAUGAAUGGGGGGAGUAUCUCCUAGACUCUUUUGAUUCAAAUGAGUUAAUCCUUCAGAAUUUUUUCUAUGUAGGCUUAUUUCAUUCGUAGGAUUAGAUUUUAGUGGAAAUUUGCCUAUGGUUCACUUUGCACUGCAGUGAUGCAAACCAGAUUCCGCGAAAACCCACUUCUAGUUCAUUUUUCAAAUCUUCAAUUCAAAUUUUGAGCAAAAAUUUGGAUAAAAGACUUGAGAAUUGAACUAAAAGUUGACCAUCAAUGGGAUCCCGUUUGCAUCUCUACUGCUCUCAAUUCCAAAGUAAAUUUUCCAUCUAAAUCUAAUCACUUGAAAAAAUUCCUUUGUUUCCAUGAUAACUAUACCAAUGCACGUAAUGUUUUUCUCUGUUUUUCCUCUAAUGCUAGAUUGAGUCUGUUUUUCCUUUAAUGUUUUUCCAACUCGAUUAGUUUAUUCAGGUGGUUUCUUCCUGUAGAAAACAACAUAUCAUGACAUUUCAAUCUUGUGUUUGCUAUUUCAGGGCUCAUUCACUCUACAUGCGUUUUAGAUGAUUUUUCUACAAGAUUUCAACUCUUACACCUUGUUUGGCACAUGUGGGUUUCUUACGUUUUCUAUUUCUACUCUACAAUCUUAAAAUCAUGUUCUCCUUCUGACCUUUGUUCUCAAAUUUAUCUAAAUACGGAUGUAUCUAUGUUUAAAAAAUGUCUAUAUAUAUUUAUAAUAUUUCAGUAACUAAUAUGAAUCGGAGCAACUAACUCGAACGAGCCCUCGGUGUUUGAAUAUUUAAAUACUCCUGAAUGCAAGUAUAGUUCUGCACUCCUACUGCAGCUUGCUACCACGAAACUAAACAUUUCUCUUUCUGCAGCCCCCGACUCGAUCUAGCCGCAGUCCAUGUCGUUCUUUUCGCCCUGGCGUGUGCAAGAGUCGAACCCAUAGUGUGAACAAUUGAGUUAGGCACGAGCCGGAGAGGAGGAGAAAGGACAAAUUAUUGCUCAGAUUAAUCAUCACCUCGAUCGUUGCGGCGCAAUACCGUUAUAUAACGACGGAAUACGGGCCCACACGUCAGUGUAAAGCGAGCUGCUUGCCGCUUUCUCCCUCUUGCGUGACGCCGUCGCCGUCCAGAGCCAUCUGGCCACCGGGCUCCCAGCCCCCCACAGAUGUGCCCCCUGCAUGCGCGCCAUGUAUCAGCCUCUGAUACGUCAGGCCAGGAACCAUCCUCAGCCGUCAGUUCGUCCAUCUCGACGGCUGCGAUCGCGCUGCCGCCACUUAUAAAUAGCACCGAUGCACGCGCGAGAAAGUCCGUUUUACCUUGCUGGGGGGGGGGGGUUUUACUUACAUGAGCGCGGGAAUGGAGGCGGAGCUGGAGGCGGCUCAGCGGCGCUUCCGGCUCUGGUUCCGCGGGCUGCGUUCCCUGCGGCGGGACCUCCGGUCGGCCCGCUGGGCCGGCGACGACCCGGCCCAGCUGGGGAAGCUGGCGGGCGGCUUCGUGGCCCACUUCUCCGACUACUGCGCCGCGCGGGCCGAGCUGGACCCGGUCCUGCUGCUGUCGGCGCCCUGGGCGAGCCCCGCGGAGCGUGGCGCCGCCUACUGGCUGGCCGGGUGGCGGCCGACCACGGUGGUCCACCUGCUGUACACCGAGUCCAGCCGCCGGUUCGAGGCGCAGCUCCCUGACCUGCUCCUGGGCGUGCGGUCGGGCAACCUGGGCGACCUCAGCCCGGCCCAGCUGGCCCAGAUCGACGAGCUCCAGCGCCGCGCCGUCGCCGAGGAAGACGCGCUCUCAAGGGAGAUGGCGCGGCUGCAGGAGGGCCACGGCGUCGUUGGCGGAGACGGGGAUCUGGACGUGGAGGGGAUCGUGAGGCGCGCCGGGGCCGUGGUGGCAGGGGCCGACGCGCUGCGGCUGCGCACCUUGAAGCGCGCCGUGGAGAUCCUCGAGCCGGCGCAGGCCGCCGAGCUGCUCGUCGCCAUGGCCGACAUGGAGAUCGGCUUCCGGGAGUUCGGGCUAAAGCACGGCGACGGCGGUGGCGAGCCGAGCCGCGGCGCGUAGGCAUAGGCGUGGCGCGGUCCAGAGAGCAGAUCCUCAUCCGCAUCGGCGGCUCGGCCCAGUUUUUUUCUUCCAAGUGUUUGCGCUGGUUUGACUGGGACAGAAAGACUGCUCACUGUUGUAAUCUUGUUGCCGUGACGAUUGUCUUUGCCGAACUGUCUCGCGGUGGGUGCUGCGUCGUAGCUGGACCGUGUGCGUGUGCGUGUGCGUGCGCGUGCGCCUGCUGGGAUGUCGUGUGAGAAAGCAAUAAAAUGCAAGGAAUGCAUGCUUGGUUUCGUUGAGAAGUCAUAUUUUGUUUUCGAGCAAGCGGUUUUUUUAACAUCUUUUCCGAUAAAUUGGCUGUUUGUCUGUUCACUACAGAAGACCCGUCCUUUUAAAAACGGUUUUGCUAUUAAUAAAUCCAUGUUUUAGUUAGAGUAGUCAUAGGAUUUUAAUCCAAUGAUAGCAAGUGAGAGAUGAGAGAACGAGGAUGACUCUCAGAUCUCCAGCAGUUAUGAAACGUCGACUGAUAUUUAAGGUUCAUUUUUUAAAAACUUGCGACUUAGAAAUAGCCAUACCCAUUUAAAAAACGUGUUAAAUCUUAUUAAAAUAAGAUUCUGAUCGAUAACUUAUUUUUAAUAGGUAUUGCUACGGAAAAGUUGUUUUUCUAGUUAAAGAUAAGUUGAAACACCAACUGUCAUAUCUUGAUCCAACGGCGGCACAUUGAAGAUGGGGUGUAGCUGCUAGCUUCGGCAUUGAAGAUGGCGUCAUGGUAGGGAGAAGCUAUCAAGUUAUCCGAGAUAGAGGAGGCACUGAUGGAACACAUCCGCUUGCUAGGCUUGUAAUCGGACAAAUAAUUCAAACAGCUUUGCUAUUCAUAAGACAAUUGAGAAAUAAUUAUUUUCAAGCCGACGCUAACAAUCGUUUAAUCCAAUCUCUGAUAUGUGUGAGAUCUAUACAAGUGUUGUUGACUGAAAAUAACUGCUUCCUCCGCGCCUGGAUACUCGUCGUGGUCCGGAAAUCCAACCAGUUGUUCGUUCGAGCCAGAUCCAAACGACACCGGACAGACAACCACGGGCGGUUCUACCGUGCCGCACGGUCACGCGCCCAAUUAACCGGCCACACGGCCAAGCGAAUCCAGGAUUAAAAAUAGGAAUCGCGUACAAUUACCGGCCACCCAGCCAGGCAGCCCGCAACGAUAAACCAGCAGUCUCCCGCUCCAUGUUUGGGAGCCAUGCCCAACUACAAACCCAACGUUUCCAAGCUGGCCGCCGCGCCCCGCGACAUCCACACGGCAGAUUAACCCUUCUUCUCCUUUCCUUCCUUCCUCCCUCUCCGCGCGCGCGCGACCUCCCGCAGACCCGCCUCCGCGAAUCUAGCCACCCCCGCGCGUGCGCCACGCACCGUCCGUCCGUCGGACCUCGGCCGGGCCGGCCCGCGGUCGUCGGCGCGCGGAGGGCGUUCGUGAGAAUGCGUGCGGCGGCGAUUGGUUGCUAGCUAGCUAGCGGCAUGCCUGGCAUGAGCGCGUGAUGGCGCCGCCGUUCCUGAAGACCGGGCACGGCCGCGACAGGUUCUCCUUCAGGCGGCGGAAAUCGUCCUCCUCCUCGUCCUCCUCGUCGACGCCGUCUUCUCCGCUCUCGGUGUCGUCCACAGCGUCGGAGGACAUCGCCGACCCGGGCAGCCCCAUGGAGUCGUCAGCGACGACGGGCAAGACGCUGCCCUGCGCCCGGCGGGCGCUCUCGCGGAGCAGCUGCGGGUCCAGGGGCAAGCUGUCCGUCGACCUGAUCCCGCCGCCGCUCGCCGGCGGCCCGUCCGACGCGCCCAGGUCCUCCACCUCCGCCGCGCCGCCCCCCAAGCCUCCCCCCCGCAACGAGGGCCCGCCUUCAGGUCUCACCAUUGUUAAUUUUCUAGUGUCUGUCUGACUUUCUGUCGUCAAAUGCAGAGAAAUGCCUUGUUAUGUUUUCGUGAUCGAUUGCAUGUAUCCAGAUGCUGACAUCGUGAGGGACAAGUUCUCCAAGCUGCUGCUGGGGGAGGACAUGUCCGGCACCGGCAAAGGGGUGUCCUCUGCCCUCGCUCUCUCCAACGCCAUCACCAAUCUUGCAGGUAAUCUCUCCCUUACCUUCCAUUUCCGAUCUUUCCAUUUCCAAUAACAGUCCCUGUCUUUCAAAUCUUCCCAUUCUGUCCGUUGGGUUCUGAUGGAUACUGACACGAUCAGCUAUGAUUUCUUUCUCAUGACGUGGCACAUUGCAGCUUCCGUGUUCGGUGAGCAGCGGCGUCUCCAGCCGAUGGCCGCAGAGCCGAAGGCCCGAUGGACAAAAGAAAUUGACUGGCUUCUGUCCGUUGCCGACCACAUCGUCGAAUUCGUUCCUUCACGUCAGGUGUCCGAGGAUGGCUCCACCAUGGAGGUCAGAAACAAGAGGAUCCUUGCUUAUCACAAGUACCUGGAUGUAGUUCUGUAUCACGGAACAUCUUUAUGCAAAUCCAAUUACAGCGGUGCUAUUUUUCUCUCUCUCCCCCCAAACAGAUAAUGAUGACUCAGCAGCGUAAGGAUCUGCAGAUGAACAUCCCCGCACUGCGCAAGCUCGACGGGAUGCUCCUUGUAAAGCUCUGCCACAUUCUUCUUUGAAAUCAUUUACGAGAAUGACAUGCGUGGAGAUACCUGAUGAAUUGCUAAUAUGCUAUGGCUGCACAUUUCCUGUUGUGGGGGCACAGAGCUAUCUUGACAGCUUCAGGGACAAGCAGGAGUUUUGGUACGUGUCGAAAGACGCAGAUGACUCGGAGAAGGGAGACGCGCCGAAGCAGGAUGACAAGUGGUGGCUCCCGACUGUCAGGGUCCCUCCUAAUGGUCUGUCGGACUCGUCGAGGAGGUGGCUUCUACACCAGAGGGAGCUCGUCGGCCAAGUCCAUAAGGCAACAAUGGCCAUCAAUGCUAAUGUUCUUAUGGAGAUGGAUGUUCCAGAAGCCUAUAUGGAGUCUCUGCCUAAGGUGACCCAUAUGAACACAGCAACAUUGCAUAACAUUUUUCUUUACUUCGGUUCACUGCAUUUAGAGGGAUCGAGACUCACUUUGACAGCAUCUUCUUUUUUUAUGCUUGAUAGAAUGGAAAGUCUAGCCUUGGAGACUCAAUGUACAAGCUUAUAACUGACGAAUAUUUUGACCCAGAAGAACUCAUAGCAUCAGUAGACUUGUCAGCCGAGUACAGCAUCGUUGAUCUGAAGAACCGAAUCGAAGCCUCGAUUGUCAUUUGGCAGAAGAAAAUGACGCAGAAGGAUGCCAAGAUGUGGGGGCAUGGUGUCAGUCAUGAGAAGCGGGGACGGUUUGAGGGGAGGGCGGAGAAUGUUCUUCUCCUCCUUAAGCACAGAUUCCCCGGAAUUUCUCAGUCAGCUCUGGACAUAAGCAAAAUCCAGUACAACAGGGUACUGGCAACCAUCUUCAAUUUUCCACUGUAUUUUCGGAUUUCCUACAGUACUUUAUUACUCAUGCUCAUUGCAUACAUUUUCUCGUUGUGAUUUUUUUGCAGGAUGUUGGCAGUGCCAUUUUGGAGAGCUACUCCAGGACUCUUGAGAGUCUAGCAUACACGGUUAUGUCUCGCAUCGAAGACGUUCUUCGCGCCGACUCCCUUGCUCAAGACCCCAAGAACGCGGAGGCGACGAGAAUGCCGAGCUUAUCAUCAGAUGACACAGACACGGUCGUCCAAGAUGCCAAGGACGAGGUGGAGAGGCUGGGAAGAAUGGAGCCUCUGAACUCGACACUAUUCGACUACGUGGGCCCACGGGACGGAGAUAUCGGGCCCAUGAUGUCGGAUUCACAGGAACCUCGGGGUGCAAAGCUGUCAAAGGUUUCGUCGAUCGCAACCAAGAGGUUCUCCUACCUAGAUAAGCUUGAGAAUUUGGGUGGAACAAGGAGCCCCAUAUCUAGACACUAGUCGCUGCCGUAGGGGAAAAGACGAUCAAUAUGGUGUUGAUGUUGCUGCAGAGACUCCGGGGAAAACUGCACGUAAAUAGCUCCGCAAAAACUGAGGGUGCAGCAUGCAUUGUGAGGUUUAUGUAAGCUUUCAAGCUUUCAGGCACCAAUACCUCCAAUUUGGUGCAGUUGCCAAGACAAUGUGAUGACGAUUCUCCUGCUAAAUUUACAUGAAAUAACCACAAGAUUCUGACACUGGACCUGAAAAUGGACCUCCAGAUUUUCUUACUGUACUUCUGUAGCAAAGUUUUGUGGUUCCAGUAAAGUGUUUGUUAUCUUAGACUUGACUUGCAGACCAUGCUUGGGUUCGGCUAGUGUUCUCCCCACGUACAAUUUAAGAGGGUAAUAACAUAUCACUGAACUUGGAGAUCGAUCUGUGUUAGCUUCUGGCGUUCUAGAUCGGCACUGUAAUAAGUAACUGUAACUGUACCAUGGCUCUAUGCAUUGGGAAAUUAAAACCACUCGUAUGAGUAAAUCAAUUUACAGGAACAAAUGAGCAGUAAAAAGCAUCCUUCCGGUUGCUGAUAGUACGUGCAGCUAGGCACGCCAUAUGAGUACAUACAACGAAGGACUUAACGUCCAGAUACGCAGAUCCAUGGUACACAAGCACAGGCAUAUGCAGGAACAGAUUCAGAGAGAGAGAGAGAGAGAAAGAAACUGAAACCAAAGCUUUAAUCAAAUCAGAUCAGAUCUUGCCGCGUGGGCCGGGGGUGGGGGGAAGCUGCGGCCCCUUCUUGAUGGGCAGCAGGUCCGGCGACGUGGUGGCGCCGAGGUAGGCGAUCAGGGACCCGCCGCCGAGGAGCAGGAACUUGAGCAGCAGGCCGCGCUUGGUGAAUGGCGCCGCGAAGGUCUGGAAGAACUUGCUCUGCAGCCCGUUGUAAGGGGACGGCGCGUCGGACCCGUACAGGUCCCACUGCCCCGUCGUGUUGCCGAUGUCGUCCAGGUCGAAGUACACGCUCUUCUCCCCGUACUUCGCCUGCACCGCGACGCCUCGUGCAGGCCUGCAGGCGUACGCGCACGCGUAUAUAUACGGUUAUUUAUACGUAUGUACAUACGCUCGAUCGAUGACAUAUUAGCUCGCUUCACGUGCGUACCUGCGGGUGGAGCGGCAGAGGGAGGACGGCCGGGCGGUGGCGGCGAGCUUGCGGCCGGACAUGGAACUGCCGGCCAGGCCCUUCACGGCGGCCGACGGCUGGACGGCGACGAGCGACACCAUUGUUGUAACAGUGGGAUGUGUUCUGAGCUUCUUUUUCUUUUUUUUUUUGCUGCGGGUUACGUGCGCGAACUUGAUCCAGUGCUGGGGAUAUUUGGAAGGUGUGCUGCUGCGGGGCUGAUCAGGUUUGGGUGGGAGAGGCUUGGCGGGGAUGGGCGAGGCCCCCAUUGGGAGCGCGCCACGCGGCAGGGUUCCGGAUAGGCUUAUCCUGAUCGCUUGAUUCUUGGGAGGGAUGACAUGGCGCGGCCAACGUGGCACCGGAGCUUGCGUGGGGUUGUCCAGCUGGGAACGGGCGUCGGAAAAGAUCUCACCAGAUGUCCCCGACGGCAUCGAUCGAUCGAUCACGGUCUCACUGAGAUAUGGUGGGCCGGUGGGCCCAGAAGCCCUCUAGCUAGGUGCUAGGACAGUGCACGUAACGUACUCCGUAUUGAUCAUUGAAGGAAAGUAAAGAGAGAUAGGUAGAGAAGGACGUCCACGUACUCCGUUGCAUUUUGCAAAUGUUGCACGUACGUACGUAUCAGCACCAGGAUACAUAUGCAACGUGGGCAGGCAGAGUACGUAUAUUGUAGUGUAACGUAUUGCUAGUCGAUCUUAAGCACCUUCCGCUUGGCCGGGGAUACUAAUUAACCGGUAAAUACGGCGGAAGGGAUGUGUACAGGCGCGAUAUAUACAGUGGAUCCAGAUCUGAGAUCGAUCUAGCUGAGCCUUGCGUACGUGCUAUAUACACAUCCUCAUCCGCGAUGGGCAAGCGCAUGCAUGCAGGGUACGCUUCUACGACAAUGGAGCAGCAAAGGAAUUGACGCUACGCUACGUACAGCGAAUCGAUCAUGCACGGAUUUGCGAAUCGAUAUCUUCACGAUGCAUGGCCACAGGCAGGAUGGCGCACAAGUGUGCUGGGAGCGAGAAGACGCGACUAAAAAAAUAUGUGAAUGCGAUGAGCCGGGCCAGGCUGCCAGCUUUAAGCCCAGAUCCAGAGCGACAAGCAAGCCGUUGUUGCACGCCCAACACUACCAACAUGGACCCGCUUUUUUUCGGCGGGCCUGAAUCCACCGUCUAUACUGAUGCCCUCUGGCCCAAACGAGAAAAGAAAUACCAUACAGUACGGCCGUUUGUUUUUUGUGGGUAUACUGUACACAGGUUGGCGCGGCUAACGAAGAUGCGAGGGCACAGGGAGGCGCACCUUCCUCGGUUCAGUUCAGUUCAGUUCAGGCCGAGAUCCACCGAUCCGCGCGCGCACAGCGCACCGGUGAGAAAGCCAGCACCGACGACGCGGCGCCCCCACGCCACCAGCCAGCCACCGGCCAAACGCACUAACCAAAACCUCGCCGUCGUCGUGCGCUCCCGCCGAACCCCACCCUAGUUCUCUCCCUACUACAUCUCCACGGCGGGAGCUUUGCGCAGCUCUCCCCCGCUCCCCGUGCCACACUCGCUCCUGCACCUCCCGCUCCCCGUCUCCCUUCCCGGCCUGGGGCGUCGGUCCCCAAUUCGGGUCGGGGGGCGCCGAGGUCGCGAGGCGGAUCAGGAUCUGAUCCCGCGCGGCCGGAGCGGGAGCGGUGGGUCGGUCGAUUGGGCGGCGCCGGGAUCAGAUCUAUGCGCGAGAUCUAGCCGGGCGUGCGGGCGGCUGCUGGUGAUCGGAGCCGGACCCGGAGGGGAGUGAGGGAUGGCGUGGUGGUCGGGGAAGGUGUCGCUGGGCGGGCUGCAGGACAUCGCCGGCGCCGUGAACAAGAUCAGCGAGAGCGUGAAGAACAUCGAGAAGAACUUCGACAGCGCGCUCGGCCUCGAGGAGAAGCGCGACGACGAGGAAGGUAUGCGCCACUCAUGCUAAAGCCGCCCCCCCCCGACCCGACCCCUUUCCUCCCGUGUAGCCGCCUAGCCGGGCAGCAUUGGUGCAUGCUUGGCUGCGUGCAAGUGUCGAUUGGGAACUGCGAUGGGAUUUUUUUGGUUGAAUACUGCACUGGGUCAUGGGAUUGUCACUGGCGGUAAUGCUGUUUGUAGCGUUGUUCAUGCGAUGAUUGGUUAGUUAGCUAUCGAUAGUGUAUACUGACUGAUGUGAUUGUAGGAAGCAGAAGUUUGAAUUCAGGUCAUCGCUGGUUCCAUUGCUCUCGCAGCUUCUUAUGUAGAUAGAUUAUUGCUUAAGUCUCGGACUCUGUAAAUUGGUCAAGCAAAACCCCAGUCCCUAAGUUUCGUAUUUAUCAGCUGCUGCAUUAUUGAUCAUUGAUUGGUCUAGCCAGAUCAUAAAAACUUAUACAUACUUCUUAGUAGCGUUGGCAUUACAACAGAUUUUGUAUUGCUCUUUCCUUUUGAGAAGUAAUGGAACUUGGAGGCAGUGAAUUCAUGCCUAUUCUCAUAACUUUUUUCCAAUAGUUUUUGUUCUGAGUAGCAUCGCUAGGAUGAGCAUAUUUGGAGAAUAUAUAGCUUCUAAUUGUUCAUUUACAUGGCUAACGUGAGACCCAAAAAAUGUGUUUUUGGGUGAUCCAGGAUCAGGAUCACGUACAUCCAACUCUGAUGGAAUAGGAUUCUUUAAUCCUGUCAUGGCAUUUAUGGGACAAAAUGGUGAGGAGAACUCUACGGAAGUAUCAGAAAAGCAACAAUUGCCAAUACAUUCGUCAGCAGAAGAAGAAAAUCAUAGGGUCACCACCGAGCCAGCUACAUCUGAAGCAGAUGCUUCUGAAGUAUCAGUAACAACCCAAUCUCCAAAGCAGCUUCCAAAAUUAGAAGAGAAUGUCAGCAGCUCCACUGAGCUACCUGUAUCUAAGGUGGAUGUUCCUGACCAAUCUGUAACACCGCAAGCUCCAACACAUCCUUCAGCAUUAGAAGAAAAUAAUGGUGGCUCCACUGAGUCACCUACAUCUAAGGGGGCAACUUCUGAAGUAUCAGAGACACCGCAGUCCCCGAUACAUCCAUCUAUAGCCGAAGAAAAUUCUAGUGGCUCCAUUGAAACUAGUAACUCAGUUGAGAGGGAAAAUCAGGGUCACGAAGGUAAUGAAUAUUCUGAUCCCAAUGACGAAGCUUUACCGAGCCAGCUUGGAGUGUCCGGCAGGGACAUACCUGGUGGUGGAACAUCUUCACCUAAUAAAUUAGAUCAAUCAAGUGUUAUUGGAGCAGAAGAAUCUAUUCAUGAUGGAAAGGAUGACACAAAUGGUAACCAGUCACAGCCAGCAGAUUCCACGGUAGCCAGUUCAGAUGAUGUAAAUGAAGGCAAUAAGAUUGGUCAAGAAUUUGAUGCCCAAAAGGAAAUAAUCAGCCCACAUGAGAGCAAUGUUAUCGAUGACAAAGCCAGUCAUGUGGAAGUCAAGUUACAUGACGACGCUGCUGAGAAUGAAGAAGAAAACAGUCAAACAGAAGCACAUGCAGUAUCUGUUGUUGAAAAUGUGGAUAAUACAGUGUUGCAACUUGAAAACCCUACCUCAAAGUCGAUAACUAUGGAUGAUGAUUCAGACUCGCAAAAUGAGUUAGCACCCGCUUCUGUACAUGUUCCUGUUGGUCUUGUAGAAGUUGGUUCUCAUGCAAAUGAUUUGAGAAAAGAAGAAAAGAUUCAUGACUCUGUAACAACCAUAAAUUCUCGAGAAUCUGUUGGUUCUGUUGUUGAACUAGAGAAACUAAGACGUGAAAUGAAGAUGAUGGAUGCUGCAUUGCAAGGUGCUGCAAGGCAGUCCCAGGUAUCAUUUCCAAAAUCCACAUGCUCUAGCAUCUACUGUAGCAAUUAAGUUAGUAACAUGUUUGGUUGAGGAACUAGACAGUGAGUAUAUCAUCCGAUUCUAGCCCACUUGUUUGGGUUGAGGAAUAGACUCGGUUAGUCCAACACCACUUCAUCCUUCAUAUGCAUGAGAUUGGCACUAAUGGGAAUUGAGUCAUCCCACCAAUUUGAUUGAUCAUCCCAUGUUGAGGCAACUCAUCUUGGAUUGAGGCAAUCCCUCGAACUAAAUACCCCCUUGAUGCAUGUGUGGUUGAACUUGUACAUUAUGAAAGUUACUCCUGGAUGAUUCAACUUGGAAGCAAACCUUUAGUGCAAUCUGUUUGAACCAAUGAGUGCUUGCUAAAUUGUCUGUAUAUGUACCUUUUUAUUCAGUCUGAAUCUAGUUUACCCGUGAUGUGGAUUCAUCUCAUAUUUUCCUUUUUUUGGGGUGUCAUGCUUUACGGAAAAAAACAUAAAAUAUGUACAGUUAUCUAAUAUUUCAAAGUGCUUUGUAGUGUCAGAAAGGAGCAUAUCAUGCAAUUAUCUUUCUUCUUUUCUGAGUAUUAUAUUCUGAUGCACCGAGCCGGUCAUGAGGUAUUAUGUGCUUCAGAUGCGUUCUUAACAAUGAUCGUCAAAACAUUGUAUAAUUUGAAUGGCCUAUGGCCCCAUGUUAGUCAUUUCUUUGCAACAUACAUGACCCUUCACCACCUAUUUAGGUUCUAACAACACUUUAUUUUUCCUACAGUCCAAAGCUGAUGAAAUUGCUAGACUGAUGAAUGAAAAUGAGCAAUUGAAAUCAGCAAUUGAUGAGCUCAAGGUAUGUUUGCUAAGCAGAUUCCUUAUCUUUUGCCUUCUGGACAUAAACAUUUGGGAUGUCUUUCAGUUAAUUAACAAAAAAAGGAUGCCUUCGGUUUAGUAAUCACCACAAUUUUGAGUUGAAUUAUGUGAAAAUAAACAAGAUAAAUACUGAGUUGCUUGGCAGCUCCUUUAGCCUUUGAUGAGUGUUAUAAUAAAUUUUUUUACUGUACAGGGUAAGUCAGCUGAAGAAGAAAUGGAUGCUCUCAAGGAUGAAUAUCACCAAAGAGUAGCAACUCUUGAAAGGAAGGUGAGACACAUUACUUUUGUUACUCAGUGCUACUAUUGACAGUUGAUCAUUGCGUAUUGCAUACGGCAACCUGAUUUAGGACUAAUAAUCAUGGAGAACAGAUAGAUACAAGUGCGCUAAAUGCCGCUAAGACCAGAGGGUUGAUAAACAAUAUACGAUAUUACUCACAUACAAUAUUGUAAUUACUAAUUACAAUCUUCAUGCUUUUUGUGCGGUGGUAGGCCUGGUAAUGGGGCUAAGCCCGCACCGAAUCCAAACCACACCAUAACAUCUCACGUGUAUUUCCCAAUCGCAACCAAACCAGAAGUGAAAUUAGAAAACCCAAACCACACCGCACCGUACGACUUCUCCAUCCAAUCCGCACCAAACCAAUUCAGAAACCGCAGGCUCCGGCACCACGGUCAGGCUUCGAUGGAGAUAGGCGGAGGGAGGCAGAAGCGGGGAGAUUGAAGGGCGACCGGUGGCGGAGGGUGUUGGACCUUGGGGACACUGGCGACGUGCAGAUCGGGAGGAAAAUGAUGUUGGGGAGCAGAUUGGGAGGAAGACGAUGUGGGGGAGCCGGUUACAGUUUACGAAGAAGAGGAGGCAGGGGGCGCCGGCGGCGGAGCGCCGGAUCAGGCAAGGGCGGCUGGCGGUGGAACGCCGGAGCAGGCAGGCGACGACAUCGGGAGGAAAACGAUGUGGGGGAGCCGGUGACAGUUGACAAGGAGGAGGAGACAGGGGGCACCGGCGACGGAGCGCCGGAUUAGGCAAGGGCGUCUGGCGGCGGAACGCCGAAGCUGGCAGGUGGCGGCGAGCGCAACCCCGUCACCAUCACAAGGGGAAGUUGAGGCCGUGCCAUCAUGGUCUUUGUUAUUCCAAGUGGUGUUCAUGGGCUGAAACCAAGGUUGGAGACCACGGUCUGAGCCCAAUUCAGUUCUAGACCGGUCCAAACCAAACCGCACCAGUCCAAACCGCAUUUGUACUAAUACCAAACCAGCCCAGACCGAUUUUCUAUCCCAUCCAUUUGAAACCGCACUGUUUGAACCCGCAUGCAAAACCCGCACCAAAAAAACCGAACGAACCUGCACCAUUACCAGGCCUAUGCAGUGGCUCUAUUUUGUUAUUCUUUUUUUUUGCAUUCUUUGUUUUAAUGGUAAAAUAAUCAAAGAUUCUCUUCUGUGCUUUAAACUUUGAACUUUAUGUUAAUGGUAAAAUCAUGGUAAAAUAAUCAAGCUAUUUAGCUACACUUUGAACUUCUUUUUCCUGCAAUUCUUCUAUUGUUGAACCCUUUGACUAGCUGGGGCGCAAUUACAUUUAUUGCACUAUGGUUAAUUUUGUUUUUCUCUUAAUUCAGUUCAUCAAGAAAUUGAGUUGAUAUUUAAUACUAAAGUUGUGUUUAGAGUGAGGCAAUGAGCUGCAUUAGUAAGGUUCCUUAGAAUGCUAUUGUCAGAAUCUCAUAAUCCUCUAUGUCAUUUUUUGUCCCUUCCGGGUUCAUAACUUAUAUUGCCAGUGUCCUUGUUCAUAUAUACAAUUAAUCUUGUGCAUAGCACUGAAAUGUUUGUAAUGUGCAUGCCUCAAUGUGUGUAGGUUUAUGCACUAACCAAAGAACGAGACACAUUGAGGAGAGAGCAAAAUAAGAAAAGUGACGCGGCUGCUCUUUUGAAAGAGAAGGACGAAAUUAUCAGUCAGGUUAUGGCUGAAGGUAUGCAUAAUUGUGAUUUUUAUGCUUACUGAACAUAUUUUAACUAAUGUUAAGUCAAAAUAUGUUCUGUUGUAUUGUUGAAAACAAUAUGAAAUUGCCUUUUCUAUUAUUUAAAGACAUCCAGUGAACAUUCCAAAUAUUAAUGUUACCAUACGUUAUGUUGCACCGUGUCGAGCACCCUUUAUUGAUUAGAGUCAUUUCAAUCGUGACUUCAAUGAUCAUGCAUGAAUAUGUACAUAUUAGUAAGAUUAGAAAAAUAUGUAAUUGCCUCCAGAACAUGGAUAUAAGACCAUAAAAAUGACAUCACAAACUUUUAAACCACCUAUCACUUCUGUAUGGGCCUGUACUCUGCAGUUUAUCGUGUGAUAUUUGGAAGUUUUGUGUCUUUAAGCUAGCCUUGGUUGAGUGCCUUACUGCUUUGGUUGGAGCUGAAGUCCUUGGCUCUCUGCUGUAAGGCUCUGAUCUGGCUACCAAUGGUAGUUGUAGAUAACUAGGUAUUAGGCAUGCACAUUUUCUUUGUGAAAAGGGCCUAAUGCCCUAAUGUGUAAGUUUGCCGUUAUUCCUCCAUCCGCUGCUUUAGACCAUGUACAUACUAUAGCCCCCCAUGUGAUCAUGUUCACCUUUUUAGUAUGUUCUGGACCAUGAUUGGCAAUGACACUAACAUCUUGUUUUUACCAAUGGAACAGGCGAAGAGCUAUCCCGAAAACAAGCUGCUCAAGAAGCUACUAUACGGAAACUGAGGACGCAGGCAUGGGAUAUGACUCUAUAACCAUACUACUUCAUCAAAAUUAUAAAGUAGGUUUUACCAAAGUAAUCAAGUUUGCUUUCUUUUUUUUGGUUGAAGCUAGGUUCGUGAGCUUGAAGAAGAAAAACAGCGGAUGAACUCAAAGAUCCAGGUAAAAAGGAAAAUCAACUUUGUUUUAUUAAUGAAUGAAUAAAUAAAUUAAUUGACCCCAACUAAAUUAUUUUCUUAUCUGCUUUAAUAUCAUAAAGUAUUUUUCUUUGCUGUUUGCAUGAUUAAAAAAAUCAUUUCUGAAGCUAUUUUUUAUUGUUUGUUUAUUCCUAUUUGUUUUGUUCCAUUUGAACAGUAGUUUGCAUCACCCGUACAGCUUGUUUACAGUUUCAUGAGUUCGUUACAGUCAGACAUGCUUUUUUCUUUCUUACUUGGUUGAUGGGCAACUCUGAAAUAUUGCACUCAGAGAUUAUGGAGUUGAUCUUCAUCCUUUUUGUUUGCUCUCAGGCUUCAAGUGCAGUCACUAACUCAGCAAUUUUCUGACUUUACAGGUUGAGGAGACAAAGGUUGAGAGUAUUAAAAGAGACAAGGCAGCAACCGAGAAGUUGCUACAAGAAACAAUAGAAAGAAAUCAAUCUGAACUUGCAGCUCAGAAGGAGUUCUACACAAAUGCUCUUAGUGCAGCAAAAGAGGCUGAGGCAUUAGCUGAAGCAAGAGUCAACACUGAAGCCAAAGUUGAGCUUGAGAGCCGUUUGAGAGAAGCUGGUGAAAAAGAAAACAUGCUGAUUAACACAAUUGAUGAGUUGAGGAAUGCUCUCACCAGACAAGAACAGGAGGUAUGCUAUGAAAAUAUUCGUCUGCACCUGUGCAUCUGUAGUUCAACAUCCUCGGUACAAAUAGUGUGUAUAUUGUGCUGAUCUAACCAUAAUCUACAUUUGACUCCUGGAUAAAAACUUCAUCUGAUAAUUAUUGUUUUAGCUGCCCACUUUCGAUUCACUGAUUGCAAGUAUUUCUUUCGUGGCAUUUCAGGCAGCUUUCAGGGAAGAAAGGCUAAAAAGGGAUCAUGAUGAUCUUCAAAAGCGGUACCAAGUAAGCUCUUCUGUUUUAGCUGCUACUACAGAGUACUGUAGUCAUGGACCAAUUCUCAAUUUCUUUCAUUAUUUAAUACUUCAGGCCAGUGAACUUCGUUAUAAUGAACUGGUUACACAAGUUCCUGAGUCGACCAGGCCACUCCUAAGGCAAAUUGAAGCCAUGCAGGUAUGAGUGCUUGCUUUGGAUUUUCCUUGUGCUGUAAUUGUUUCGCUGUUCUUCUGUUAGUUGGUGUAUGCAUCCGAGUCUGUGAAUUGAGUUUUUCUGCUGUUGUAAGUUGGCUAAUCAGUUGUGUUUUAAUUUUAACAGGAGUCAGCUGCUCGAAGGGAAGAAGCUUGGACUGGUGUGGAGAGAACCUUAAACUCUCGCCUUCAGGUCAAUUCUGUUCUGAACUUUUGGUUUAACAGUGAUGUGCAGAAAAACAAUGGAGAAAACUAGAACUACAACAUGGACCUUAAAUUGUUAUAAAUGUGCAAUGAGCAGGGACAGCAGAACAAAAUGGACAUAAACUUUGACAUUAAGUCAUUAAUAACUGUUUUCUUGUAGUUAUUUAUGCCUCUGCAAAUGUACAGAUAAAGAGGAGUGGUUGGGUGCUAUCUAUCUUUAGUGCAGUCGGGCAGUGUCAGGAACACAAACAUAAAUAUUUCACUGACAUAGUUUUAUCUGUCCUACUCAAAUAUGCAGGAAGCAGAAGCAAAAGCUGCUGCCUCGGGAGAAAAGGAGCGGUCCAUAAAUGAGAGAUUGUCACAAAGUUUAUCACGCAUAACUGUUUUGGAGACCCAGGUUUGUGCAAUAAUUUCUUCUAAAAACAAAAACUUGUGACAUUAUUGUAAGUCAACCCGGGUUUUUGGCAACAAUUUGGGGCCUUUAGUAAGAAAAGUAUUUAUUUUGAAAUGAACUUUGUGUCUUGUGCAGAUUACAAUUCUUAGAACAGAGCAGACACAGCUGAGCCGAUCUCUUGAAAAAGAGAGGCAGAGAGCAUCUGAAAGUAGACAGGAGUACCUUGCAAUUAAGGAGGAGGCGGCAAUACAAGAAGGACGCGCCAAGCAACUUGAAGAAGAAAUAAAGGAGCUUAGAGCUAGGCACAAAAAGGAGUUGCAAGAAGCAGCAGAACACAGGGGGCUGCUUGAGACGGUAGUCAAUUUUCUCUGUGAAUCACUUCCUGAAAAGAACUGGAACUACAUGUAUACGGAGCAAUGUUUCUGCUGCCAAUUUCAUUGAUGAGACCUAGAAACACUUUGUUUAACAUAUGACAUAAAAUUUGAACUUUGGAGGCUAUCUUAUAGCAGGCCUAUUUUAGGAUCAACCGGUAUUUGUUUACUUCGUUGCUUUCCCUACGUGAAGAAAAUUAGUUUUAAAUGUCACUAAUCAUGUGCCUGCCAUUAGAUCUUCUAGUUCAUACAUUACCAACUUGGCAACAAUUUAAUGUGUCUAUUAAAUUCUUGCGUCAAUUGCAACUUCUGAAUUUCAGGACCUUGAAAGGGAAAAGGCUGCCAGAGCAGAACUUGAGAAAACAUCUUCCCGGGAGCCACCUAAAAUUCCGCUUCCAGAUCAAACAAGUAUGCUCUUUCUUGGCCUCUGAUUAGUUUCUGUAAGUUCAAUCCAGCUUUUCUUUUUUGUUGCCUUACCUGUGACUCUGUUGGUUUCCUCUUUGCUUUUCUUGAAGGAAAUGCUCCUGUCAGAAGGCUCUCUAGUGCUUUGAGUGUUGGCAGCCUGGAAGAAAGUCAUUUCCUUCAAGCAUCAUUGGACUUAUCAGAUAGUUCAUCAUUGGAGAGGAGAAUGUCAGCAGAAAAUAAUAUGUCAUACUAUCUGAGGAGCAUGACUCCAAGUGCUUUCGAGUCAGCACUCCGUCAAAAGGACGGAGAACUGGCUUCUUACAUGUCACGCUUGGUAUGUAUAUGUGCGGAUGCAUCCUUCUAAUAUUUCUCCUAAACUAUUUUAUUUUAUUUUCUUGCUAUAUAUAUAAAUUUGAUAUUACUUCUGGAAACUGACAUUUGCUGAUUAUUCAAGCUAUUAUUUCAUAAAGUAUAUUGGAGUAGAAAGCUAUUUUUAGCCGAUUUACACCUGAACUUGUGCAUUAUGGAUGUCUAAAAUAUUUCUAGUUAAGUUUAGCACUAGCUUGUGCAUACACACACUAUUUCACACUCCCUUUAAAAAUUGGUGAAACUAUAUCAAGUUGCUGGCAAACCCUGAGCCCAACUGUAUGUUGCCAUAUAGCGUUUUUUUUUGGCUGUUUUCAUGAGGUGCCUGGUUACCUAACUUAUAUCAUUCAGCAUCAUCUAGAAUGUAGUGGGCCAUUUACUCCCUGGACAUUGUAUCAAGCACUCAUCAGUCCCAUACUAGUUUUAAAACCCUACGGGUUAAUUACUACAAAUUCAUGUGUCAUUCUCAUAUAUCCUAAUUUGUGAAGAAGCAGGAGCGGUAGCUUGGAAUAGUUCCACGACUUGUGUUUUCAUAAGAUGUUUUACCUUUACAUGUUUUGCCCACUAGAAUGGCCUACACCAUUUGAAGCCAUCUAUGCUGGCAACGUUUCCGUAUCUGUUUCAUGUUCUAUCAAACAAUCUUCAGUCCCAUACUGGUUUUAAAAGCCUAUGUGUUAGCUACUACAAAUUUGUGUGUCAUUCUCGUAUAUCCUAAUUUCUGAUGAAGUGGAAGCAAUAGCUUGAAAUAGUUCUGUGACUUAUGUUUCCAAAAGGAUGUUUCUUUUAUCAUGACAUCAGGUCACCCUCAAAUGUUCAUCAUUUAGGUUAGGUUUAGGAUAUGAUAUGUUUGUACUACUUGUGCUACAGCCUUGAGAGCAUUGUCGUAGACUCCUUGGGUAUGCAAUUGUUCUAAUACUUCGGCCUUCAUGCUUUAGUACGCUAAUCUCUCUUGCAAUUGGCACUGAAUAAAUGUCACUUUUAUAUUACAGGCCUCAUUAGAAUCUAUUCGGAAUUCUCUGGCGGAGGAGUUGGUGAAACUGACAGAACAAGUAAAUCAUUGUGAACCAACUAGACUAUAAUUUCAUUAUAUAUGCGGGUGCUAAUUGAACUGGUUUCGUAUGCAGUGUGAAAAAUUGCGGACUGAAGCUGCUGCUCUGCCUGGCCUAAGGGCUGAACUGGAAGCACUGAAACAAAGACACUUUCAAGCUCUAGAACUUAUGGGUGAACGUGAUGAAGAGGUAUUUCUCACAUGCAGUGCAUCUCACCAUUACUCUCUGUGUUAUUGACUUGUACCACAAGAUACACCAACAAUAUAUAAUCCGUCAUUAUAUUUAGUCUCAUAUCAUAUGGAAAAGGGAGUCCUCUUCAUGAAUCAAAUUGUGGUAGCGAGCUUACAUAGUGGAAUCCUGUAAUUAACUUCACUAAUUAGUAACCUGGAAUUUCUACACUAAGUAGCUUGUAGUGACUUUUGGUGAUUGCAACCUAGCCCACAAACCCAGCUGUUUCAGUCAUAAAACCUGUAACUCGUCUGGUUUUAGAUUUGAUGUUGUUUUUCAAACUUUGGUUAUUGAAAUGUAAACAUCUAUUCGCUGUAAUUUGUUGAAAAUGAGGGUCUGUAUAGAAAUUGCCAUGGUAAAGGAAAACUAGAGGUGACCUGGUCUCAGUUUACGGGGUGGUUACUGGUUGCUAACCACCGGUUGGAACUGCCAUGAUGGCUGGGACUCUGGUUACAUUUUUAUGCACACUCUGUAGCUGCCGUAUAAGAUGGUCCUGAAAAAUGUUUUAGUAAAUUCAAUUAAUAUGACCUAUUACCAAUACUACUUUCUGUUAACAAUGGAAUGGACCCAUGCAUAAGCUUGACAAUGAACUAGUUGUCUGACAGUUGGCAUAAGCUGCCUAAUUUAACCUGUCCGUAUUAGUGUCUUCUCAAAGGGAUGUGAAUUCAAUGCGACAUUGUGUGUGCACGAUACACUUUCGGAUAUCUUUGUAUUAUUGUUCCGUAGACCCUUACCUUCUAUUUCUUUCAUACUUAUUAUGAAAAAAAAUCUGUGCUGUUUUGCAGUUAGAAGAGUUACGAAAUGAUAUUGUUGACCUAAAGGAUAUGUACAGAGAACAAGUGGAUCUUCUUGUUGGCCAGGUUUGAAGUAUAUUGAUUUAAAUUCUGCUUGUCAUUGCGGAACCCUGAAAUGUGUUGCCCUAAAACAUCAAUUUUCCUUUUAUCAGCUCCAGACAUUGGGCGCUCGUGUAUAGCAGUGAAUUUGACAUCCCAUUUAAUUUUUAAUGCACUGCAUCGACCGAGACCAAGAUAACAAUUUUGAAGCCUGAACAUGUUUCUUCAGAAUUCGAACUGAUGCGAGUGUGGGAAGUUCAUAAUCACACAACGAGUGAAGAUAUUAUUUGUGUACAUUUUGAAGCAUCUUUGUUGUUGAAUUUAGUAGGAUAGUUUGUUGUAUACUAGAUUGAAUAGCUUCACAGUUUUACGUUUACAGAAAUUGCAAAAAAAUAAUUUACUGAAGUGUACCAAAUUUGGAACCUACAAGUGUAUGUCGACGUCUCUAAUAAUAUGGAGAUCCUGUUUUGACAGCUUUGUCAGGUUUUCUGUCACUCUGUAAUCCAGGAUUACUUAGUUUGAUUUUUUGCUAGUUUGGAAAGACUAAAAUAUAUUAGAUUAAGACCGCGUAUUGUGAUGUUGCCGCAAAGAAAUGUAUCCAGCCUGGGGAAAAGCUUCAUUCCCAGGUGCACAAUAAGGGUUGUAAAUGCACAGGAAUAGGAAAAGCACGUGACUACAAUAUCAUGCCCCAAAUUGUAUAGGAUUGUGUUUAUGCCAACUUUUUUUUUAUAUAAGUGUUUACUCAAAAGUUUGUUUGAUUCGAUCAUAGUAAGAAAUUUCCAACAGGUUUGAUCAAUAGAAAAUUUCCUAUGAAAUGUGGUUCAAAGAAAUUCUAAGAAAAAUAUCUAUAAAUUCAAUCCUACAAAUCAAACAACAAAGAUAGCAAAAUUUCCUAAGGACUUGCAUUGAAAUAUUGGAGGAUUGGAAAAGUUCCUAAGGACUUGCAUUGAAAUAUUGGAGGAUUGGAAUACUUAGAUUUUUUUUUUCCGGUGGGUUGUUUGAUUUGAAAGUUGAGUCGGGUGGGAAAUCUUUCUUUAGGGUUCUUUUGCACUGUAUUUUAUAAAAAAAGAAAUCUUUUCAUUCAAACCUUUAGUGAAGAUUCAUUUGUUUUUCCUUGAUUCAAUCAAACACAACAUUGAUGUCACCACAAUCUUGUAUUCAAAUAGGCAUGGCAUUGCAAUCCUAUUUUUCAAAUCCUACGAAUCAAAGAGAACCUAUGGAACUUUACAAGAUUACGAUGUUAACAUAGAUUGGAGUUGCAAUGAAGGAUUUUAUGUGAGAACCUAGCUUUGCUGCGAAUUAAAUCUCAAACACUAGAUUUUACGAGAGAACCCAACUUCGUAGCGGAUCAAAUGUCAAAACGCCGCCAAAGAGACGGUAUGUUUGAUACCACUCAGUCAGAUCCUUCUACGUGUGAUCGACAAUUCACCAGAAGAUACUUUCUUUUGUCCUGAUGUUGUUGCCAGAGCAAUCUGGCUUUGUAAUUAUCCAAUCUUUUGAUAACUCCUCUAGUUUGCUUUGACGAAAGACUGACAUGUGCAAAGAAACACUACUUAUACUGUUAUACAUGCCUCCAAUAGAUUAAAAAAAACUUUUACAGCCUUCCAACUUCUUUUCAACUCUUUCCUCUUUAGGUUCCCAAUGAGAAUUGCUCAGUCUUUUAACGUCCACUGGAAUUCCCUCAUAAGUUAAGGGGAGACUACCCAUGUUAAAAUCGAAAAUUUUACUAGAACAAACACUUCUUUGAGCAAAAUCUCUUACACGGUACAACUCGCUCUUAUGAAAGUUAACUUUCUGACCAUGAACUAGCUCAAAAGCACAUAAAACGAAUUUUAAGUUUUUGUCGUGGACCAGAUCAUCCUUAAAUUGACAAGCCCCCCCCCCCCCCCCUUCUGCUUAAAAAGGGAUAAAAAAAGGGAAACAUGAGUUGUUGAACUGCCAUUCGAGUCCAUGGUUUUUUUUUUCUUUUCUUUUUUCUAGAAUACACCCAAGCAGGUGUAUCAUAUAUUGAAGGAGGAUUCCGCGACGCAUUUACAUGCCCGUAGGCGCCAGUAAAGCGACCAUUCUAUUACAUUCCACAAGGGAUCCACUAGACUAGAAAGCGAAAAAUCUACACUAUGAAAAAGACCCGCGCUCGACCAUGCCCUUCCUUCACUGUUGAUCAUUUGUUGUAUCUUUCUAGCACUCGGAGUUGCUGCAUCGAACACCACCGAGUUCCUGUGCUUCCAGAGGCACCAGCAGAUGAGAGUAAUGCUAGUGUUGAGGUUCCUCUUCUCUUUCUUGCCUUGCACCACAAGGCUCGUCCACCAUUCGGCAAGAGAGGCUUGCGGAGUAGGGAGCCAGCAAAGCCUGUUCCAGCCCCGCAGCGAGGUCGACCACACUUCCCGAGCCACGACGCAACCAAGAAGAAGAUGGUCAAUGGUCUCAUUGCUUUGAUCACACAAAGGACAGCGUGCCGGGUGGGGCAAACCCCGCUUCGAAAGCCUAUCCGCCGUCCAACAACUAUUUUUUAGAGCCAACCACAUGAAUGUCUUGCACUUAGUUGGCGCCUUGGAGGACCAGACCUCAGUAGCCCCCGCAGCAAGCACACGACCCCGGAAGAAAGCCGCGUACGCAGACGAGGCCGUGUAGGUCCCAUUGUCGCUCCAUUUCCAAUGGAAACGAUCAUCAUCGUAUGAAAGAAUCACCUCAGCCACGCGGUCAUGAACCACCAGAAGAUCCACAAGCGCCUGAAAGCAGAGCUCCGGGUGGAUGGCCCGAAGCCAACCAUUGGCAUGCAAAGCCUCGGCCACAGAAAGCCUGGAUGCCCUACGCAAGAUCUCCGAUAGCAGCGUAGGCGCCAAAUCCGCAAGUGAACGCCCCUCCGGUAGCCAAGGAUCAUACCAAAAAUGUAGAGCUUCACCAUUCCCCCUUGCCACCUCAAUCGCCGCCUCACAAAGUGCCCUGGCCUGUUCCGGGAUUUGGAUGUUGAAUUCAGCCCAUGGACGCGUCGGGUCCACAUGACAUAGCCACCCCCAUCGUGUUCUGAGUGCAAGAUUGAGAAGCUUCAGAUUAGGGAUGCCUAAACCACCAAUCUUGCGAGGGGAACUGCCUUUCCACAAGAACACACGACAUAUCUUCUCUAUGCCCGCAAUGGUCUUCAUAGGAAGGUUGAGAGACAUCAUGACAUAGACCGGCGUAGCUGAGAGGGUCGAUCUAACAAGGGUGAGCCAUCCCCCAAGAGUAAGCAUAGGGACGGACCAUGUCUGGAGCUUAUUCGCCACCUUGUCCACCAUAGAUGAAAGUUGAGUUGCCGUUGGCUUCCGAAGCCCGAGAGGUAAGCCCAAUUAGGUACAUGGGAAAGGCCCCACCUCACAACCAAGCGUGCAAGAUCAAUGGUCUUGACAAAGAUAUUUAAAGACUUGUAUUGUGCUACCGAAUUCAUAUUAGCAAACGUGCAAGAUCAAUAUUUGUUUAGUUUUUUUUUGACAACAUAGAUCAAUAUUUGUUUAGACACGAUGAUUGAGCGAGUACAUGCGAUGUAACAGUCGGAAAAGGUUUCACACAAGUUCAUUUGUCAGUGAACAAAUUAUCUGCAUUGCAUUUUUUCAUAACAAUACAUGGACGUCUGUUCCGUUGGGCUCAAAAAGAAUUAAACAAAAAAUAAACGUCGACAGCAGGAUUCGAACCUGCGCAGGCAAAGCCCAACAGAUUUCGAGUCUGUCUCCUUAACCACUCGGACAUAUCGACCCACUUGGUCUUUUAUUCCUCUCAGUAUUUAUAUACAUGACUAUUCUGUUAACAGAUUGAUGAUUUUUUGUCAUUGCUAUAACCAUCUUUUACAAAAUAUUUGAAGCUUGCAGCAGAACAUGUAAACAUUUAUUCCUUUGAGAUGCGGGGUCAUAAUUUCUGCAAAAAAAAAACUCUGUACCCUUUUCGCAAGAAAAGAAGGAGAGCUAUCACCUGAGUACUCCGUAUUUAGCAUUCUUUAAUUUACAUACUAGUGCUCUAGAAAAAAGUUGCAUAUAGCUUCGUUGCCAAAUCAGACGGGCACUCGGGGCUGCAAUUGCAUGAUGGGCAAUUUGCCAUGCAUUAUUUGACGGAGUACCAACACGGAACACCCGGAAGCGUGAGGCAGCAGGUGCAUUCUUCAGUCAUUCAGUCCAGCCUUCCCUUUCGGUUUCUCCGCUGCCCUUGCCUAGCUAGGCUAAGCUUGUUUAGCUCGUAACAUUUCAAUGUUAAGUUUGCUAUCUUCCAAUGAGGAGUCCACUGUAGUAGCAUUAGCAGUUGGGUUGGUAUGGCCAUCUUGGUAGCUUCUUCUAGCCUCGGGACUUUACAAUCGAAUGCAUCAAUGCAAGAACAUAUGCAUUGUGAUGUACUAACAAGGAUCGAUAAGUAGAAUGAAAUCUGUGUCUUGUUCCAUUAAAUGAUGAUUAUAUUUAUACAAGAGGAAGGGACACCAAUACAUGCAUUGGUGUCCCAAGUUUUGGGCAUUCGCAUCCCGACACAGACGGUUACAACAUUGACUGCCUAAUUAACCAUUAAUUAACUAAUAAUUAAUUCUAAUUGAUCAUAAAUAAUUAUUCUCAACACUCUCCCUUGAUCAAUUUGCUCCAUUGAUUUGUAUAUUCUUGAAUCAUCAUGAAAUCUUGUAAUUUCCUCUAAAAACCCUAUGGGAAAAAUAUUGAGGAAAUAAUAAUAAUAUCGAUAUGUUAUGAAAAACUCCCUUUAAAAAUCCAAUGGGAAAAAUAAGGAGAAAAUGGUAUAACAUAUUUUGAAUAUUGUCUCUUGAUAAUUCAUAUUGAAUUAUAUGAACAAUAAAUAUGCCUUGUAUAUUAUCCACAAAAAUCCCGGUGGGGAAAAUAUAAAAUAUGACAUAUAAUCUUAUGUUAAUAUUGUCUCAUUAAAAACCUUUUAUGAGAAACUAGUGAGUAAAACUCAUAAUAGGAAAAGAGUGCAAUAUGAUGUUAUGAACAGGUUAAAUUCAGGUGAAUACUCCCCCUAAUGCUUGCAAAUUUUUAAGUCGUCGCAUACCAAUCCCAUGUACACAUUUUUUAAAUGUGGAGUUGGGUAAGGACUUAGUGAACAAAUCUGCGAGGUUAUCACGUGAUUUGGUUUGCAAGAUAUUUUUCUCCCCAUUUUGUUGUAAUUCAUGAGGAUAGAAUAGUUUAGGUGCAAUAUGUUUAGUUAUAUUGCUUUUUAUAUAACCUGUUUGCAUCUGGGCAACACAAGCAGAAUUAUCCUCAUAGAUAAUUGUUGGUGAUUCAAUCAAACCAAUACCACAUGAUUGUUGUAUAUGGUUAAUCAUUUUGCAUAGCUAUACACUUUCACGAGAUGCUUCGUAUAAAGCUAUUAUUUCUGAAUGAUUUGUGGAUGUAGCCACUAUAGUUUGCUUAGAAGGCUUCCACGAUAUGACUGUCCCACCGUGUAGGAACACGAAACAGGUCUGGGAUCUGGCAUUCUGGGGAUCAGAUAAAUAGCCAGCA